rnacentral:rRNA from 1 species
AACGAACGCUGGCGGCAUGCCUAACACAUGCAAGUCGAACGAGACCUUCGGGUCUAGUGGCGCACGGGUGCGUAACGCGUGGGAAUCUGCCCUUGGGUUCGGAAUAACAGCGAGAAAUUGCUGCUAAUACCGGAUGAUGACGUAAGUCCAAAGAUUUAUCGCCCAAGGAUGAGCCCGCGUAGGAUUAGCUAGUUGGUGAGGUAAAGGCUCACCAAGGCGACGAUCCUUAGCUGGUCUGAGAGGAUGAUCAGCCACACUGGGACUGAGACACGGCCCAGACUCCUACGGGAGGCAGCAGUGGGGAAUAUUGGUCAAUGGGCGCAAGCCUGAACCAGCCAUGCCGCGUGCAGGAUGACGGCCCUAUGGGGUUGUAAACUGCUUUUGUACGGGAAGAAACCUCAUUACGUGUAAUGAGUUGACGGUACCGUGAGAAUAAGGAUCGGCUAACUUCGUGCCAGCAG